rnacentral:tRNA from 3 species
CGCGGGGUGGAGCAGCUCGGUAGCUCGCUGGGCUCAUAACCCAGAGGUCGCAGGUUCACACCCUGUCUCCGCUACGA